GGCCUUAUGGUCUAGUCGUAUGAUUCCUCCUUUGGGUUAACCACUUAAUUGGAGGAGGUCCUGGGUUCAAUUCCCAGUGAGGCCC